rnacentral:rRNA from 1 species
CCGAGAUUCCCCCAGUAGCGGCGAGCGAACGGGGAGGAGCCCAGAACCUGAAUCAGCGUAUGUGUUAGUGGAAGCGUCUGGAAAGUCGCACGGUACAGGGUGAUAGUCCCGUACACAAAAAUGCAUAUGUUGUGAGUUCGAUGAGUAGGGCGGGACACGUGACAUCCUGUCUGAAUAUGGGGGGACCAUCCUCCAAGGCUAAAUACUCCUGACUGACCGAUAGUGAACCAGUACCGUGAGGGAAAGGCGAAAAGAACCCCGGCGAGGGGAGUGAAAUAGAACCUGAAACCGUGUACGUACAAGCAGUGGGAGCACCUUCGUGGUGUGACUGCGUACCUUUUGUAUAAUGGGUCAGCGACUUAUAUUUUGUAGCAAGGUUAACCGAAUAGGGGAGCCGUAGGGAAACCGAGUCUUAACUGGGCGAAUAGUUGCAAGGUAUAGACCCGAAACCCGGUGAUCUAGCCAUGGGCAGGUUGAAGGUUGGGUAACACUAACUGGAGGACCGAACCGACUAAUGUUGAAAAAUUAGCGGAUGACUUGUGGCUGGGGGUGAAAGGCCAAUCAAACCGGGAGAUAGCUGGUUCUCCCCGAAAGCUAUUUAGGUAGCGCCUCGUGAACUCAUCUUCGGGGGUAGAGCACUGUUUCGGCUAGGGGGUCAUCCCGACUUACCAAACCGAUGCAAACUCCGAAUACCGAAGAAUGUUAUCACGGGAGACACACGGCGGGUGCUAACGUCCGUCGUGAAGAGGGAAACAACCCAGACCGCCAGCUAAGGUCCCAAAGUCAUGGUUAAGUGGGAAACGAUGUGGGAAGGCAUAGACAGCCAGGAUGUUGGCUUAGAAGCAGCCAUCAUUUAAAGAAAGCGUAAUAGCUCACUGGUCGAGUCGGCCUGCGCGGAAGAUGUAACGGGGCUAAACCAUGCACCGAAGCUGCGGCAGCGACGCUUAGGCGUUGUUGGGUAGGGGAGCGUUCUGUAAGCCGUUGAAGGUGACCUGUGAGGGUUGCUGGAGGUAUCAGAAGUGCGAAUGCUGACAUAAGUAACGAUAAUGCGGGUGAAAAACCCGCACGCCGGAAGACCAAGGGUUCCUGUCCAACGUUAAUCGGGGCAGGGUGAGUCGACCCCUAAGGCGAGGCUGAAAAGCGUAGUCGAUGGGAAACAGGUUAAUAUUCCUGUACUUGGUGUUACUGCGAAGGGGGGACGGAGAAGGCUAGGCUAGCCGGGCGACGGUUGUCCCGGUUUAAGCAUGUAGGCGGAGUGACUUGGUAAAUCCGGUUGCUUAUCA